AGGGAAAUAGCUCAGUGGUAGAGCGCAUGCUUAGCAUGAGGUCCUUGGUUCAAUGCCCAGUACCUCUA
rnacentral:tRNA from 1 species